rnacentral:rRNA from 1 species
CAGUCGCCGCGGUAAUACGUAGGUGGCAAGCGUUGUCCGGAAUUAUUGGGCGUAAAGGGCUCGCAGGCGGUUUCUUAAGUCUGAUGUGAAAGCCCCCGGCUCAACCGGGGAGGGUCAUUGGAAACUGGGAAACUUGAGUGCAGAAGAGGAGAGUGGAAUUCCACGUGUAGCGGUGAAAUGCGUAGAGAUGUGGAGGAACACCAGUGGCGAAGGCGACUCUCUGGUCUGUAACUGACGCUGAGGAGCGAAAGCGUGGGGAGCGAACAGGAUUAGAUACCCGUGUAGUCCCUGUCUCUUAUAC